CUCGCCUCCCUCCCGCACCUCCAGCCCCGAAUCUUCCGCCAGCUCCGUCCCGCUCCUCCACGCCUCCAGCCCCCUCUACUCCUGGGGCUGGGAGGGCUUGGCUGCCAGGUCCCCGCUCCCCCUCCCUCCUGAGGGCCGUGGGUCACCGCUGGAGGCCAGCACCUCCGCGGUGGGGGAGGCGGAAGGAAAGGGCUCCCCACCCCGCCCCCAGGCAGGUGUCUCACUUCCUUUGAACUGUUAAGGUUGACCUCAGGGUGUUUGGAGACUUGACUUUAGUUUCCUAAGUCUCUACUUGCGCACAGAUAUUUAUUAUCAGAAAAGAAACCGACAUAAAGGAAAGAGAACACGUGUAGGAGAGACUCAGUCUGUCUGUGUUGGGCGGAAAGAACCCAGGACCCACAGGGACCUGGGUCAGGUCCAGCGCCGUUACUGGCCGGCUGUGACCCUGACCCAGACCCGAGUAGGACUCAGAGGGCAGGCGGGCGAGGUCCAUGGAUUUGGAUGAAGCCUGACCAAAUGGCAGAACAAAUGCUGUUUUUACUGUAACCAAGGCAACAGGAAACCACGGGCUCACAGGACAAGUGGAUCAGCCCAGGAAUGCUGAACGCGCCCUCUCCCAGCUGUGGCUGCUGCUCCUCCUGGCGGCGGGAGGGAAAGCAUCUGAGACCUGUGGACACCAAAGGUGGCGAGUCAGCAGGUGCAGCAGCAGAAUGAACAGAACCAGAAACCACUCUAUGGAAGCUUGGAACUUCAGAAAACAAGCAAAUGAAGCCUUCUCUAUGAACAACUGUAAGGAAACACCACAUCCUCAGAGACAAGAGUCUACAGCUUUAUGAAAGAGAAGAUUUAAACAUGUUUACAAGGUUCUUCUGUGACUAACAUCCUACAUUUGUAAGGUUUAUCUGUCACCACUGAUGGCGAUGGCGACAAGUCUAAGUGAGCCAGGGAUCAAGAGAAAAUGGCUCCAGAGGCUGCGAUGAAGAACUAGUGUCAGAGUAGCUCGGGGUGGACCGUUAUCCUCGGAUUUGGAGAAGUCACAGGCACAUUUGUGGACAGUAUCUUGCCUUACAUGCUUGAGUGUUUGGACUUAAAGUUCCUCAACGUGUUGACUUGGCACUGACUUCAUUUCCUGAGUGUUUGGAAACCACAUUGUUACAUGUUGGAUGACCAACGGAAUCCUUUCAAAGAAAAUGACCCGCUAGGGUAUAUUUUCAUGAGGAAUUAUACCUUCUGUCUUAUAAAUGCAAAUAUCUUAAAUGACAGGUCUCAUGGUUGCAAAUUGUAGGUCUUAUGCAUCCUCACAGGGGAAAAAAUGUGCUCUAGGAAUUGAAAAUUUUACAAGCUGAUUUUAAAAUGGGUUGGCAGCUGACAUAUAAUCUUAACACAGCUUUAAUCAGAAAAAUAUGUUCUAACAAAUUGGCAGGGAAACCAGCAGUGAAUGAGUGAUGGCACAGCCACCUUGUGGUCUCAGGCGCUCUGGGGACUGUUGCCUCUGAUGGGAUGAAGGUUUCUACGCUUUUGUGCAUGUUUUUGUUUACACACCACAGGUUUAGGUUAGUCAUACCUCUGACUCAGGAGACUCUCCCCUGCCUGGAAGUGAGUUCACCUUCAGUAACUCUGUACUUCCCAAAGCCACAAUUUCACAACCGAGCGCCGUGUCCAGUCUUAGGUCUGCAGAGACGGGCUGUGUGCACUGCCUCAAACCCAGAAAAGGAGGCCCCGAGUUUAGAGUUUGCUCAGAGUUCCAGAGCCAACUCCGUAGAAAAGGGAAGUCUGGGACCAGUGUCCUGGCUCGUCGGCCAGUAGUUUUGUGGCUUUUGUUGUUCUUGUUCGGUUCAUAAGGUAGACAUGAGUCUACUGUGUGCACUGACCCCCUAGGUUACUCCAGCACGUGGGGCACUGCUGGAAAGUGAUGACUCAAGAGACGCCCCCUGUGACCCUCUCCACUGACAGCUCUCUAGGACAGCACAAGGUCCCUCACUCUCCUGGUCGUGAUGCACGCAGCUCUUCUCUGGACCAUGUGCCAUCCUGGACCUAUCCUGACGGUUAAACAUUUCAUACACUCACAGAAUCCUGACACCCUGACUGACUUCCAAUAGGUGUAAAAUCUAAUUAUUUAAUGAAGUUAAAUGUUGAAAACAUAAAUUAAAUACUCUCUCGGGAUGGUCAGGGGUGUUUUUAAACAAAGUCCUCACAGCCUUGAGAAGACCACAUGAUCCCACCCGUUUUCUCAGGGAGGGGGUUUGUACCAGCAAUCCCUACUAACUAAACGGAAGUCAGACAAUGCGGGCAUAUUCUUAGUAAUUCAGAAAUGAUGAAUUUCCCUGGGAAAUCCAGCAGCUUUGGCCCAGGGGCUGCAUCGGGAGAUCUCCUCAUUUAUGUGGAGAAAUGUGAUAAUAGAGCAGAAAGAACCAGUUCAUUCUGGAAAUGAGUGUUCUUCACACAAAACUCUUAAUGGUGAGAAUUAGAAUUUAUAUAUCGUUAUAGAAAAGGCAUACAAAUUAAAGGCACUUGUCACCUCUAAGUUAAAUACUCUAUGAAGUCUGCUAAAAAAAAAAGAAAAUUCAACCAAGUAAACUUGAAGAUCGAAUUGGCUUUACUAAACGCUUCAUGAAUCAGGCAGCUUCCCAUUUGACAACCAGGUCACUCCAAAGACUGGGACAAGGAUGUUAGAAGAGUGAAUUUUUUCAGACAAUGUGACCUUCACUUAGGGGAAGUCAGGGGUCUUAUCACACAGAUUAGUUCCCUAGUGCUGACCAGGAAUUCCUAACUGGUGAGAAAAGAGUGAAGAUGUGGAGUAUGUAAAAUAGAGUCACUGUAACCAAGCUGCUGGAAUUAUUAACACUAUGAGGGUGGAGACACAAGGAAUGACCCUAGUUGUACGCAGCCUGGGAAGCCAAGCUUUUGGAGGUUUCCGGUCCUGUGUCAGUGCCUGAAUGUACACCUGGAUGUGGGUCAGAUCUCCAGAUAACCUCGGCUCAGCCUGAAGGACCAGCAUCCAGACCAUGUGAAGCCACUCCAUAGGCAUCACCCCGACUACAGGAUGUGACCAGACACCCUGGCAUCUGUUAUCAGCCCCCUAACAUCUGACUGAUGAGCCUCCUGGACCAGGGCUAGCGCUGAGAAAGCAGGACUUUGAACUUUUCACAGAUUUGAUUCUUGGAAAAAGUCAGUAGGAGUUACACCCACGUCCCUGAAGACACUGCUUUCCUGGGGCUGUGAUGCUCCCCAGGACUUGAGGCAAUUCUAAGGAGAGUCAUCGGCCUCUGAGAAGAUGCCCUACAGACAGCAUGGCUCAGAGGCCGACCACGGAAUAUAUAAUUUAUCAAGUGUCAAGGUCGACAGCUCCCUUUGAAAAAUGUCCCGGAACUUUCCUGCUGUUUUGUACAUGACUGAAAUGGGACACCACGGGAUUGGGCAACGGGAGAGGAGGAGGUAUUCUGAUGAAGACGUCCAAACCAAGGGUGAGCUGUGUGGACCUAAGGCUCCUGCCUGGCAACAAAAAUAAGAUUUCAAACGAAGAUUCUCAUGACCGAGAAGCAUGCGCAUUCAUAGUUGUCUAUUAUGAUAAAAAAAAUUCAUUGUGAACAUUUUAAAAUUCAACUAUUUUGGGUUCCUAGAAGGUCUUCUUAUUUUACUAAAGCCUCCAUAAUCAUCAUCAGCAGCAUAUUACUGAGAGCUCACUGUAGAGCUGGGCACUUUGCUUCAUACCCAACAUAAGCGACUCAAUUUCCUGUUGCUGCUCCCUGAGGAGAACCAUUUCCAGGCAGCACAGCAGCGAUGAGAAGCACAGAGCACUCACAGUCUGUCCUUCACUUGCUUAAAUCUAGGAGCACGGUAAGUUAGGGCUAAUGAUGGCCCUGACCUCACAGAGUAAGUGAGUGGGAAAGUAAACACUUGGAAAAUGCCCACUGCUGUUAAUGAAAACUGAGGCUGAGACCAGGUAAGUAACUUGCUCAAAGCCACAUUGAUAAGAAGAGGAAAUACAAGAAUUUAAACCCCCUAGGCAGUCCAACUUCAGAGAACUCUCUCAAUUACUCCACUAUUCUAUAAGAAAAAUUUAACAGUUGACAUUAAAUUACUUGAAGUCAUGUUCUCUUCCUGGGCACACAGCAAGAUCAAAUCUGCAAGCAUUUUUUGCAGGUAGAUGAGGACAUGAGAAAAAAUGGGUAGGAGGAUUUUGAAAAACACACACACACA